CGGUCUGGGUCACCAGCCAGGAAUGAAAAGGGAGGGGGAUAAAGGGGAGAGUAGCCAAUGAGAACGCAGUUCAGGGAUCUGGGAGACAGAGAUCGGGAGAACCCAAGAUUCCUGUCUCUUCCCAACUGGUUGCAGAGAACAGAACGUAUGGUUCAGUCCCUGGAUGAUGAAAGCAUGCCAAGUCUGCAGUUCCUCCAUUCUUGCUUCUUCCAAAGUAGCAGAAUUGUGGUUGCAGGUGUCUGCUAUUGGUCCCAGCAGCCCCUACAGACACACCCUACCAUAGUGUCUAUUCAUAGGGCCAACAGAGAGACAAGAGCAUUGCUAAAGAGAGAGUCUAGAAGAAUGCAAGCGACAUACCGGCUCAUCAGUAGGGGCGCGGCUGGGUAAAAUCAAGGCCUUUCCUUAAGGACCACUAGAUGGCCAGAUGAGAGAAUGGGGACCCUCUCUACAGAUCAGUGCAGAGCUGCUCCAAGAAAGACGUGAAAUGCAAAAGCAGUGAGCGGCAU
rnacentral:lncRNA from 1 species